UACGAAGGAUCCAAGCGUUAUCCGGAUUUAUUGGGUUUAAAGGGUGCGUAGGCGGAUUAUUAAGUCAGUGGUGAAAGCCUGCAGCUUAACUGCAGAAUUGCCAUUGAUACUGAUGAUCUUGAGUAUGAUUGAGGUGGGCGGAAUGUGUCAUGUAGCGGUGAAAUGCUUAGAUAUGACACAGAACACCGAUUGCGAAGGCAGCUCACUAAGCCAUAACUGACGCUGAUGCACGAAAGCGUGGGGAGCAAACAGG
rnacentral:rRNA from 1 species